CAUGAAGUUGGAGUUGCUAGUAAUCGCGGAUCAGCAUGCCGCGGUGAAUACGUUCCCGGGCCUUGUACACACCGCCCGUCACACCAUGGGAGUUGGGAGCGCCCGAAGCCGGUGAGGUAACCGAGAGGAGCCAGCCGUCGAAGGUGAGACCAACGACUGGGGUGAAGUCGUAACAAGGUACC
rnacentral:rRNA from 1 species